ACGGAAGGCAGCAGUGGGGGAUAUUGCACAAUGGGGGGAACCCUGAUGCAGCGACGCCGCGUGAGCGAAGAAGAUCUUCGGAUUGUAAAGCUCUGUCUUAGGGGACGAUAAUGACGGUACCCUGAGAGGAAGCCACGGCUAACUACGUGCCAGCAGCCGCGGUAAUACGUAGGUGGCAAGCGUUGUCCGGAAUUGCUGGGUGUAAAGGGAGCGCAGGCGGGUCGACAAGUUGGAAGUGAAAAUUACGGGCUCAACUCGUAAACUGCUUUCAAAACUGCCGAUCUUGAGUGUUGUAGAGGUAGGCGGAAUUCCCGGUGUAGCGGUGGAAUGCGUAGAUAUCGGGAGGAACACCAGUGGCGAAGGCGGCCUACUGGGCACUAACUGACGCUGAGGCUCGAAAGCAUGGGUAGCAAACAGGAUUAGAUACCCUGGUA
rnacentral:rRNA from 1 species